rnacentral:rRNA from 1 species
UUUACACAUGCAAGUCGAACGGCAGCACGGGAGCUUGCUCCUGGUGGCGAGUGGCGAACGGGUGAGUAAUGCGUCGGAACGUACCGAGUAAUGGGGGAUAACGCACCGAAAGGUGUGCUAAUACCGCAUACGCCCUCCGGGGGAAAGCAGGGGAUCGUAAGACCUUGCGUUAUUCGAGCGGCCGACGUCUGAUUAGCUAGUUGGUGGGGUAAAGGCCUACCAAGGCGACGAUCAGUAGCGGGUCUGAGAGGAUGAUCCGCCACACUGGAACUGAGACACGGUCCAGACUCCUACGGGAGGCAGCAGUGGGGAAUUUUGGACAAUGGGGGCAACCCUGAUCCAGCCAUUCCGCGUGAGUGAAGAAGGCCUUCGGGUUGUAAAGCUCUUUCAGCUGGAACGAAACGGUACGCUCUAACAUAGCGUGCUAAUGACGGUACCAGCAGAAGAAGCACCGGCUAACUACGUGCCAGCAGCCGCGGUAAUACGUAGGGUGCGAGCGUUAAUCGGAAUUACUGGGCGUAAAGCGUGCGCAGGCGGAUUGUUAAGCAAGACGUGAAAUCCCCGGGCUUAACCUGGGAAUGGCGUUUUGAACUGGCAGUCUAGAGUGUGUCAGAGGGGGGUAGAAUUCCACGUGUAGCAGUGAAAUGCGUAGAGAUGUGGAGGAAUACCAAUGGCGAAGGCAGCCCCCUGAGAU